UACGUAGGGGGCAAGCGUUGUCCGGAAUCAUUGGGCGUAAAGAGCGUGUAGGCGGCCAGAUAAGUCCGCUGUGAAAUCUCAAGGCUCAACUUCGAGCUGUCGGUGGAAACUGUCUGGCUAGAGUCCGGAAGAGGAGAAUGGAAUUCCUGGUGUAGCGGUGAAAUGCGCAGAUAUCAGGAAGAACACCAACGGCGAAGGCAGCUCGCUGGGACGGUACUGACGCUGAGACGCGAAAGCGUGGGGAGCGAACAGG
rnacentral:rRNA from 1 species